ensembl:lncRNA
GCAGCAGAGUCUGGGAAUGAAAACACUGAGGGAAAAAUCUUUCCCGAUAGAUUCGUCAACUCAAUCUAAUUUUAGGUUCCAGGCAGACCACAUAGCUGUACCUUCAGCUACCUGCAAACAUAUGUCUCAAGUGCCCUCACUGAAGGACUAUAACCGGGACUUAAAAAUAAUGAAGUUUUCUAUCCUGAUAUGUUUUAGUAAAAUAGGUGAUGUGUGAGAGUGUGUGUGUGGGUGUGGGUGCACACAUGCAGGAAAACCAUGUGCGUGUACGCCACAUUCAAAUAUUGACACAUUCAGAGUAAGGGGGGAUGGUCCAGAAGGGUUUCUUUCUAUUUUUCAUCAACUCUAAUUUUUUCUUUCCAAUGCUUCACAACCAAAAGGACUAGUAGUCCCAGGCUCAAGGCCUCAGAAACCGUAUCAUUGAGUUAUGUGAAACAGGAAUUUGAGACAUUUUUAGAAAUCAUUUUUAUGUGGUAGCUAUUUUAAUAUUGAAACUACUAAAUCAAAGCUAACAAAGGUCUUUUGAGAGGAAAUGGUUAAAAGGGCACGUCUUUCCUUUUCUAAAAGGAAAACCGCAGCAAGGAAUUCCAAUUAGGAAUAAAUUAAAGAGCACUACACUUUUCUGGAAGGGUCAGGAAGUCAAACUCUUGGCCUUGAGCUGCUUCUCACCCCCACCCCAGCUGACCCUGGGAACCAGUCGCUCCCCAUCUCUGUGUGAACUCAACAGUGGCUGCCAAGUCUUGCCAUUCCUCUGCAGAAAAGAGUCAGGGAUUUUCACCAGAGGCCUCCUGCCAGCACCAGAGUCAGAAGGAGGUAGCCAAGGUGCCAGGGGGCUUUCUGGAGUGCCCCAAUGCCAGCUUUCUGUCUACAAAGGACAAUUCACUAAACUCGCUAAAACCAAAUCUGACAUUUUUAAAAAGUCUCUGAAAUAAUCCUCCUAUGCUGUUUUGCUACUAGAAGACUGGGCUCUCAUUUCCCAGAUUAUAUUUUCUUAAAUAUAAUUUCCUUAAAUUCGGCAGUACUUUUAAUCCAUGACACUCACUGGUAGGCAAGAAAAACAAUUUUGCUGUCUUCACAAUUGAUUUAAAGCUUACAGAUGUGACAUCUCCAUAUAUUAUGUUGUGGCUAAUUGCCUUAUACUAAUAUCUGAGUAAUAUAUAUGUGUGUGUGUGUGUGUAUAUGAAUAUUAGUGUCAUGCUCAGUCAUGUCUGACUCUUUGAGACCCUAUUAGACUGUAGCCCACCAGCCUUCUGUUCAUGGGAUUUUUCAGGCAUGAAUACUGGAGUGGGUUGCUAUUUCCUCCUCCAGAUAUAUAUAUAUAUAUAUAAAUGUUCUUUAGGUAACCUGUGUAAUUGACAUAUGGCUACUUGGGAAAUUGGGGCUAAAAGUGAGGUACCCCAAACAGCUGAGUUUGAUCAAGAUGCCAUGCACUCUUGACCUCUUUAAUAUGCUAUGUUGCUCUUUUGACAGCAUUCCAAAUCUACUUGUCCUUCCAAGUCUAACUCAGUUCCUGCUCUCAGCUCAAAUCCUUGCCUGACCAUUUAAAUUCUCAUUGAGACCUCCCCUCUGGCACCACCUAAAGCCCUAUUAUCUUUGCUGCUACUAUGGCAUUUGGAUAUGUCAUCGUACACCAUCAUUUACUCGCCAGCUUCCAAGGCGGUGUGCUCUCUCUUCAGCUCCCUGCACAGUACUUAGCCUGAUGCUCAGCCCAUGGGGAUGCUCUGUGGUACAAGUGAAGUGAACUGACUUACAGCCUUUUUCGUCAUUUCCCUAAUGCUCAUAUCUAGGACUAAAAUUUGCAUGAUUGCUCUUUAUUUCUCCAUUCAUUGUCCCUUAGUAACCCAGAAGCAUCUAGAAUGAGCUGAAAGUUAGACCACUCCUAGAACAGAUUGGUCACCUGUGUCUUUUUGGCUUGGAUGUCACUGUUCCACACAAUGCAUGGAAAUGGAAGACAAGUUACAUCCCUUAUGACUGCAGUCAAUGAAAAUAAAGAGGAAAAUAAAAUAAUGGAGCAGAGAAAGAAAAUAUAGGAAAGUGUGAGGGGAAAAGAGAUAAGGAAGAGGGGAAAAAAAGGAAAAAAAAACAACCCACAAUCUUACUGGAUGAUGUAAAUACAUUUCCUCUUUUAACGACAAAACAUAAAGGCUCCUUGCAAGUGCAUUUCAUGGGUGAUUACUUGAACAUCUUAAUCAUGUUUGCUCUUUGGGGAGAUUGUAUGCAGUUCCUCUGGAAGAAAGGAAAAGCAAAGCCCAGGAACACUGGUGCACUGUAUGCGGCAGUAAGAAAUGACAACUCGGAAUCAGGCAGAGUUUUCUCUUCUGUGAUCAGCUUGCUCGGCCCUCAAUGAGUCCAGGAGAUUUCGCAUUUUAUAGGUUGAGCUUCCCACUGGCAGCAACUGAAGCAGUUCAUUAUGCACAUCUGUCACGUGACCCACUUCAUCAACCAAAUGGAACUGGGAGAAUAAGUCACCCUAACAAGAUCCUUCAGUACACUCUUAAAAACUACUUACAGAUGUACUCUUCCUCUGAGGGGAUACAAUGGGUUUCCUUGUACGGUGCCACACGAUACAGGAAAUGCAUUAUCCCCAUCCAAAUUCAGGCGAACCAGGAGGAAGCCUGAAAAGAAAGCAGCUCACAAAAGCACAGACAGCUUUUGCAAAAGUCCUGAGAGGGGCUCACACACCAAUUUAUGAUAACGGCAGAUAAAACCUCAAGCCUGUGAAGCUCAGUUCAUUACAAAUGCUAAUGUCCACACAGGGAAAGGAAACCACGUCAGCACUCAGCAUCGACACAAACGCCGCUAAUGCUUUUUAUUUACGGUUGUCGCUGGGUCCCCUCAGCGGUGUGCCAGAUCUCCGUUUGUGUGGCAACUUUAACUACUUCAUGUGCCUCCACGACUCACUGUGAAAUGUGCCCACAGGCGAUUUGUGCUUUCAGACUGUGUCUGGUGAGGCGAGCAGCCACACUGCUAACCUUGAAUCAGGAACCAUCUUGUUCCCAUUCAGAUCACGUCAAGCGAACACUUCUGUGGACACAUCCAGGAAUAGUUAACACCUGCCAUUGUGAAAUCUUCCUGUUUCAGUCGGGGUGAUCAAUUCAUCAUUCAUUCGGUCAGGCAACAGAUAUUUAUUGAAUACCUACCACAUGCCAGGCACUGUUUCGGGACCCGGAGAUAUAAUAGUGAACAAAGCCCUACCAUCAAAAAGAUUACCUUCUAGAGGGGGAUAGGAAGAGACAGCAAAUAAAUAUGGGAUAUGUCAGAGUGUUUCAGUCAGGAUAGGCUAGUUGUUUUGUGGUUUUAAACAAGCCAAGUUUGAUGGCUUAAAAAAAAAGUUUAUAUCCCUCACUUACACAGUGUGUCCAUCACCGACUCAAUGGACAUGAGUUUGAAUAAACUCUAGGAGAUAGUGAAGGACAGGAAGCCUGGCAUGCUGCAGUCCUGAGGCCACAAAGAGUCAGACACGACUUAGUGACUGAAGAACAACAGGCUGUGUUCACUGCAGGGCAGCCGGGGGCUCAGCUCCGUGCACCUUCACCCUGGGGCCCAGGGUGCCUGGAGAAGCACCAUGUGGAGCACGGCCGAUGUCGGCGGGAGAGAGGGGACAGAGCUUUGAACGCCGCAGUGGCUUCCUCCUGAAAGCCACACACGGCCCUUCCCCUCACACAGCACAGGAGAGAGCAGGGAACGUGGCUGCACCCAACUUCAACAAGUGAAGAAGAGCAACCACAUGAUGGGUUUAGGAAAAUCAGACACACUCCGUGUGUCUGUCCCAAUGAUCAUGACUGCAAGGAGGGGAAAAAAAGCAAAGUAAAGGAGCAGGUAUCUGGAGAGGUGGUCUCUACUUGAUAGAGAUGGUCAGAAAAGGUCUGUCUGAUGUGGUGACAUCUGAAGAAAGAGAGAGAGAGAGAGAGACUGUUCCUGCAGAGGAUAUAGCGAGGGCACACGGUGCCUGGUGUGUUGGAGGAGCAGCAAGGAAGUCUGGAUGUUGAAGUGGAAUGAGCAAGGGACAAGCUGGAGAAAAGUAGGUCAGAGAAGGAAGAGCAAGUUAGUUGUGGGACACAAGCCAGCACCUUGCUGUAAGGGCUGUGGCUAAUGUAGGGUGCUGUAAAGAUGUGAUCUGACUGAGGUUUUGAAAGGAUCCUGUGGCCGCUAUGAAGGUUGAAGCAGGGAGGAGUUGAGAGGCUCUUGCAAUAAACCAAAUAAGGCUAGAGAGGGGCCAGUGCUCAGGUUCUGCAUGCAGUUUGAAGGUAGAACCAACCAAAUUUGCCAGUGUAUUGCUGGAAGAGAAAGAGAGGAUUCGAGGUUGACAAGAAAGGUUUGUUUCUUCUGGUAAUCCCCGGAUACACAUAAGGACUAUUCAUGUGACUUUUGAGAAUCUUUGAAUUAGGCAAAAUCAUGUAACAUACAACAUCUCCCUGCAAAUGAGUUGAGAGCUGAACAGCCAACUGGAGCUAUGGAUGCUGGGCAAUCAGCUUGAUUCAUAGACCAGCUGAGGGACUUCUCUCCCUCACUGGCCCAGUAUCUAGUCUCUUUUAGGGUUUUGAUCCACAUUACUUUGUAAAACCAGAGAUGUAAGCUUCCUAAUUACAAGCAAAAUAGGGGCUUAUGACUGAGUCACCCCAACCUCAUCCCAGCCCUCCAUUCCUCUGUGAACCUCAGAUAUCACUACCAAGAAACUAAGCCAUACAACACAAGGUCUGUCCUCAAUAGAUACUGGUAUAGUGAUGUGUCACCAAUUCUCCGAAAAAUAGGUUGAACAGAAAUCUUAAUAAAUACAAUAAACAACACAUGGUUUCUGAAUAGUGUUUCACCACUUUCUGCUCACCCUGUCUUCCCGUCAUGUGGCUCUCCUCCUCACCACCACCUGUUAAAUGGCCACUAGAGCCCCCUACUACAAUCUCUUAGAUCUUCUCCAGCUUAGAAGAGCACAAGUUGAAUGCCAAGUUUGCUGACUAUAAUGGAAUGAAUAAGUAAAAGUGUUUUUUAAAACAGCGAUUUAUAAUCAGAAGUAUUGGUUCAUUCAAAAAAGAUCUUCUUGAACUCCUACUAUGUGCCACCUCCUCUUCUAAGCACCGGCGGCACAGCUAUGAACAGAACAGGUGAGUAAUUUAUAGUUGAAAACGAGGAAAGCGUGGAAGAGUAUUAAGAAAAGAUAAACUUCCCACUAACUCACUGCUGAAACAUCUUAGUAUGUAACACUGCUAGUAACAUCUUGGUGCCUAGUCUUUUUCUAAGCAUACAUAUUAU